GAUUGGUGCCUUCGGGAACUGUGAGACAGGUGCUGCAUGGCUGUCGUCAGCUCGUGUUGUGAAAUGUUGGGUUAAGUCCCGCAACGAGCGCAACCCUUAUCCUUUGUUGCCAGCGAUUAGGUCGGGAACUCAAAGGAGACUGCCAGUGAUAAACUGGAGGAAGGUGGGGAUGACGUCAAGUCAUCAUGGCCCUUACGACCAGGGCUACACACGUGCUACAAUGGCGCAUACAAAGAGAAGCGACCUCGCGAGAGCAAGCGGACCUCAUAAAGUGCGUCGUAGUCCGGAUUGGAGUCUGCAACUCGACUCCAUGAAGUCGGAAUCGCUAGUAAUCGUGGAUCAGAAUGCCACGGUGAAUACGUUCCCGGGCCUUGUACACACCGCCCGUCACACCAUGGGAGUGGGUUGCAAAAGAAGUAGGUAGCUUAACCUUCGGGAGGGCGCUUACCACUUUGUGAUUCAUGACUGGGGUGAAGUCGUAACAAGGUAACCGUAGGGGAACCUGCGGUUGGAUCACCUCCUUACCUUAAAGAAGC
rnacentral:rRNA from 1 species